rnacentral:rRNA from 1 species
AGUGUACGCUGGCGGUAGGCCUAACACAUGCAAGUCGAACGGCAGCACAGGAGAGAUUGCUCUCUGGGUGGCGAGUGGCGGACGGGUGAGGAAUACAGCGGAAUCUACUUUUUCGUGGGGGAUAACGUAGGGAAACUUACGCUAAUACCGCAUACGACCUACGGGUGAAAGCAGGGGACCUUCGGGCUUUGCGCGAUUGAAUGAGCCGAUGUAGGAUUAGCUAGUUGGCGGGGUAAAGGCCCACCAAGGCGACGACCCGUAGCUGGUCUGAGAGGAUGAACAGCCACACUGGAACUGAGACACGGUCCAGACUCCUACGGGAGGCAGCAGGGGGGAAUAUUGGACAAUGGGCGCAAGCCUGAUCCAGCCAUACCGCGUGGGUGAAGAAGGCCGUCGGGUUGUAAAGCCCUUUUGUUGGGAAAGAAAUCCAGCUGGCUAUACCCGGUUGGGAUGACGGUACCCAAAGAAUAAGCACCGGCUAACUUCGUGCCAGCCGCCGCCGUAA